rnacentral:lncRNA from 1 species
AUGACCUUACUAUUUCUAAGCAAAAAAGAACAGAGUGGAAAAGAGAGGAAAAGUUACAGUAAAACCAAAAGAAAAUUGCAAGAAGGAGAAGAACGGAGAAACGACACAGCUACGUUUCAGCACCGCUUCGACAUCCCGACUACGACUCCCCAUCAGACCCACGAAUCUCCUUCGUCGUCAAAGGAACCACAUCAUCGGAAAUCCAGAUUACCGGCCGAUUUCCCGGCGAAGCCACUGCCCGCUUCCGAUCUGUGCUCAUCUGCCGUCACGCUCCGACGGACAGUUACACGCGAACUCAGCCCUCACCGUCAUGAGUCGACCACAUUUUUCUGA